rnacentral:rRNA from 1 species
AUGACGACCCGCGUGCCCGCCGGGACGUGGUGCCCGAGUAUCUCGGCGUCGUUUUGUGGCUCUCGGGGCACGAGAGAGCGGGAUCGGUGGGUGCAGGCGUACCGUCUCCUUGACCACGGCCUUGAGGUAGUGCAGCUUGUCGAUGUGGCCCUCGGUGAUGACGUGCGCGGAGCCACCGACGGCCGCCCUGAGCUCGUCCUGGACCUUACGCAUGCUGUCCGGAUGCGUGAUGAGCUCCGCCAUGGCCCACUCCAUUGCCGUGCUCGUGGUGUCCGUGCCCGCCGCGAACAUGUCCUGCGCGUCCACAUGUCAAGCAUGAACAAAACAAGCGCCGUGACAUGGCACCGAGAUGACAACACGUACCAGGAUGAUGGCCUUGAUUUCGGUCGUGCUGAGCCGCAUGCCAGCUUCGUUGUCGGUCUCGUUCACGUCCAACAACACGUCCACGAAAUCCCUGUGAUGGCCGCCGUCAUCUCGAGUCUGCUGGCCGGCUUGACGCCGGCGGCGGCGGUCGUCGAUCACCUUCUCGAGCACGCCGUCGAGCGCCUUGAACGUCCGUCUGAUCUUCCCCUCCAUCCCCAUCAGGGCGUCCAACCACCCCAGCCACGGCAGGAGCUCCCCCACAGGCGCCGUGCCGAGCAGCUCCUGGAAGUCGUUGAACACCUUCCUCAGCUCGCGUCCCUUGUUGCCUUCCUCGUACAGGCUGCGCGCGCUGUCGUCCCCGAACGCGGCGCGCGAGACCACCGUGUUGGCGUAGGCGACGAGGAACUCACACAGGUCCAGUCCACGACGGCGCCGCCCGCCGCCGCUCCGCGGACGCGCUCGACCAGCGCGGCGGCCUCCUCUUCCCGGACGCUGCGGAAGGAGAGAAUGCGGAGCGGGCUGAGGAGGUGGACCACGCACACGCGGCGCGCCUGGCGCCAGUACUCGCCGUAG